AGCAUUCCCUAUAGGAGCUACAACCCAUGUAACUACAGAUAUAUAAGGUGACUGUGAGUGCUUGCCACAUGGUUCAGCUCUGCACUGAGCAACAGGAACUGCCACACUGUUUCCAGGAACAGCCAGUGGGGGAUGCUUAGAGAUGAAGAAAAAGUGCAUAUGCAAAAACAUCUUAGCUUGGUGUAUCCUCCUGGCUUUGUGAGGUAGAAGUGCUGAGGAAACAUUAUACAGGAAUACCAUAGUUCAAAGAUUAUUUGGUGCCUCUUUGUGCCAAAAUAAUUAGCCUUCAGCUCCUAGAAGUUGCCAAAAGUUUCCAAAGGGAAAACCCUGUUCUUGUAAACCUCCAGUUUGAGAUUGCAUUCAUAUCCUAAAGUAGAUAAGAGCACAUGGCGAGUAAACAGGAGAAACGUCUGGAUUUGAAGUCCUCCUUUGCUGCCAACAAACCUUCAAGCUUAAUACACAGAAUUUGAGUGCAAGGAAGUGACAAAAUUGGGACCUGAGAGAUCAGGAAGUUCAGUAAUUCAGGCUGUACUGAGCAACGUCAGCAGAGCUAAACAGGAACAGAGAGCAGAGUGUGUGGGUUGUUGGGGUUUUUUGUUUUGUUUUGUUUUUUGUGGUUUUUUCCCCCACCUCAUUUAGUCCAGAGUAAGUGCUGCAUCUUCUGGCAUGGGUAAAUCUUAAGAGACAGAGAAGUAGGCAAAAAAUUAAAUAAAAAGUUGCUGUCUUCUCUGUGUUCCCAUCUGGCAUAAAUAUGCAGUUUCAGAGAGGCAAAUGCAGGUGUCUUCAGCCUCAUGGGAAAGCAUCUGCUGGAACACCUUACUGUCCUUUCAUUCUGGCAGAUUUGCAGUUUUCCACCUUGUGCCUUUUUAUUUAUUUAUUUAUUUAUUUAUUUUGCCCCACUGCAUCAGUUUCAAGCUAUUCAAAACUCUGCACGCCUUUGCUGCCAUGUCUCAGUUCUCUGAAUUUCCUGUGUGGUCUGUCCUGCUGGCAGUUCUACUGCACCUCACUGUCUGCUCCUGCCAUCUCCUUUUAUCAUGGAGCUGGUCUUACAAGACAAAGGUUUUAUCUCUGAUUAUGCUUGUACUGGAAAUUGUUCCAAACACCACCUACCAGAUACCCAAGGAGUUGAGCCUUUCCUUCCUCGUCCUUGUUAUCUAAAAUAAAAAUCAUUAUUGAAGAAUUGAACCU
rnacentral:lncRNA from 7 species